rnacentral:rRNA from 1 species
CCUACGGCGGCAGCAGUGGGGAAUAUUGGGCAAUGGAGGAAACUCUGACCCAGCAACGCCGCGUGAAUGAUGAAGGUCUUCGGAUUGUAAAGUUCUUUUCUAUGGGAAGAAGCAAGUGACGGUACCUUAGGAAUAAGCCUCGGCUAACUACGUGCCAGCAGCCGCGGUAAUACGUAGGAGGCGAGCGUUAUCCGGAAUGACUGGGCGUAAAGGGUGCGUAGGUGGUUUGGCAAGAUAGUAGCGUAACUCCAAGGCUCAACAUUAGAACUACUACUAAAACUGUUUGACUUGAGUGCAGGAGGGGCAACCGGAAUUGCUAGUGUAGCGGUGGAAUGCGGAGAUAUUAGGAGGGACACCAGGGGCGGAGGCGGGUUGCUAGACUGGAACUGACACUGAGGCACGAAAGCGUGGGGAGCAAACAGGAUUAGAUACCCGAGUAGUC